AACAAUUUAUCGAGCACUGAUACAGCCCUAUUUUGAUUACUAUUCUCCCUUAUGGGGCGUCUGUGUUAAACAUCUGAAAGAUAAACUCCAAAAGUCGUGUAGCCCGAAUUAUAGCUGGCGCCAGCUACGAGACCCAAUCUGCUGAUGUUCUUCGAUCUCUUGCUUGGGAUAAUUUAGAGACAAGGCGAUGUACAACUAAAUCAAUACUAUUUUUUCUGUGUUGGUGUUGUGUACUCAGGUGAAUAUGUUUGUGAUGUUACUCUGAGUGUAUAUCGGGCGAGCUCGAAAAAUAUGCCCGGCCACGGUGGGAAUCGAACAUACGACCUUUGUAAUACUAGCCCAAUGCUUUGGCAACUGAGCUACGCGGUUAGGCCAGUUCGAGUGAUAUUUCGGAACAGAAUCUAGUUCCUUCGAUACCAAUGUAAUCUAGUAAUAUGAUUUUUUCUGUGUUGGUGUUGUGUACUCAGGUGAAUAUGUUUGUGAUGUUACUCUGAGUGUAUAUCCACACCGGGCGAGCUCGAAAAAUAUGCCCGGCCACGGUGGGAAUCGAACAUACGACCUUUGGAAUACUAUUGCACAAAGUCUUCACUGAUUUUAAUUAGCCCUUGGAAGCCUAGAAGUGAAUUCCUCAAAAAGAGCUUCAAGUAUAGUAGGGCUAAACUCGACAAUGCCACGUGUCGACAAUGCCACGACAAGAGGCGUCUAUCUACCCGUGAAACAUCUAGUGAGUAUUGGUGACAGUUCAUCUGAUGACGGGACGAAUACCCUUCAGUUUCACAAGUGCCAUCAACAGACAACACUACCGACUCGACGGGGCGUUUGCUGGCUGAAUGGUAUAAUCACCGCUUCACAAUAAUAGCAAGCCGGAUGUGCUGGUGCGUAAUGCAUAAGGCUAUGUUGUCCGUCUCCAUUGGCCUGUGUAUUACCACCCAGAUUAUCCGGCUGUAGCUCUGCUUUCGAUGCGUUGUUGUCGACCUGCAUUUUAUUGUUCUGCAUCUGGUAAAUCGUUCAAUUCCCAUACCCUCAACCAGAGAGUCGCAACCUUACCAAAUGACUUACCAAAUGCCACAACCUUACCAAAUUCCGAUACCUUGGGAUUACAACUAUCAUGCAUGUGUUCCCAACUUGUAUAGAUCCCGCGUGUAUGGCAAAUUGGUCACAUAUUUAGGGAUUGUUAUGUAUUUUACACUUUCCAUACUUUCCAUACUUACUUAUUUCCAUACACAUGUCCAUACUUAAUAAAUUAAGUUUCAAAAUUUAACACAACUAUUUUUACAACUUAGGCUAUACUGACCUCAUGUUUCGCGCACGAAUAUAUUUCUCUUUGAUCUUAACCCAAAUCACAACCAUAUCCCUUACCUAUUGUGCGCGAAACAUGUUAUAACACGAAAUCCUACCAGAGACUAUCGGGAUGUUUACACGAGUUCUACAUAAAGGGCCAGCCCAACCAGGACUGGUUUUCACCUGGUGCUUACAUGAGAAAAUUCAACAAAUUUAUUUUCUUACGAAGUCCAUAAUCAUUUUAGCGAGCAAAUUUUCGAAUAAUAACCAACAAUUGAAUAUUGUUCUAGAGCUAUAAAUCUGAAUCGAAAUAGACUUAGAGAAGCCAAGUUUGGCACGUAUAUGGCCAGCUUUUUACUCAGCCCCCACUGGUAUAGGACAAGCCCUCUCUGACUCUGUUGCGUUUAUAUGGUAAAUUUCCUCAGGCAAGAUCUCAAGCUGGCCCUCCCCUUAGUAUAUGCGGAAUAUCGCGUAUAAGUGCCAGCGCUUUGUGUAGGAUUCAUAUAAACACCCUCUAGGAAUAAUAACUUUAUCGUAUCAUUAAUUCAGCAUGGAGAAAAGCCAGGUACACACUUGAUUGAAUUAUUAAAGCGAUCUGUAUGUGAUUUACAAACAUGAGCCGAAGGCGAGUGGUUGUUAAUCGCAUGUAGAUCGGACGUGAAUGCCCUAGCUAUCGUACUUAUCAAAUACAUACAUAUAAGGUUCAUGUUUAUUGUUGCCAUUGUUAAUGUUCUUGAUACAAAUAAUGCAAUAUUGCACUUGUAUAUAAUUUAAACUCAACACUUUAGGAGCCCAAAAUCCGUGUUACUUGGCAUGUAGAACUUGUUAUAUCCUAAAUUAUAGAGUAUUUUUUGAAAAGUCACCCUAUAUCGUUGUAAAUAGGUUGAUGACGAAAGCACGAAAUUCACUCAGAUAGACUAUUAGGCUCCAGACUAUACAGCUGUUCGUUCUGCAUGCAUAACGCAUCUUUAAAAAUUUAUUUUUGGACCAAUAAAAAUGGCCGAUUAUUUUCUAGGACCAACAAAAGCUACAGAAAUUUAUUUUCUGUAAACUAUGCACUUUGCGAUCAACAAACACCAAUUUAUACUUUAGGAUCGUGGAGCUGGCAGAUUACUAGUCUUCUUGAUUUCGGAAUCCUCUUCCUUUUUACUGGUUAUUAUUUCAGGUACCGUUGUACCUUUAGUCAACUUAAUCUCGCACACACCAGUCUGAAUAUCAUAUGUUAGGUCAACAAGAAAAUCGUCUUCCUCCUCGAACUUCUGUACCAUUUCCUCCGUUACAUCAAUAAAACGCCUGAAAAAUAUGAAUGUAAUUUAGAUAUAGAUAUAGAUCAGAAAACCUAGAAUUUCGCGCAGGAGAAAAGACCACUCAACCACAAAACCUAGAAUUUCGCGCAGGAGAAAAGACCAGGCACUCAACCACAAAACCUAGAAUUUCGCGCAGGAGAAAAGACCAGGCACUCAACCACAAAACCUAGAAUUUCGCGCAGGAGAAAAGACCACUCAACAACCACAUUACAUAAAACAAAUAAAAAUCCCAAAGAAAUGGACAUAAAAUUCAAAAUACAAGUCAAAUCAGAGCAGUCCAGAAAAUUGGCUAUUGAAAAUUAUAAUAUAAGGUUUCUAGUGUUCACCAUAGCAAACAUUAGAGAAUCACACUUAUAUUGUCGAGGUGGACAACCUUAAAACAUUGGCAAUAGGCUUCCCUCAUAUGAAUAGUCUGCCAAUUUGACAUCUUAUGUUCAAUGAAAUGACCUCUAUUACAAUUUCAUAGAAACUGGUACUCAAAACCACAGUUAUAAGGGCCAAAUUAUAAUGAACAUAAAAGAAUGGCCUGAUUUAUACUAGAGACGGACGAUCUGUCUGGAUGAACUUGAGCAAAUAAAGACAGUUUGAGUACAAACGCGGCAAACAGACAGAUCAUCCGUCAAACGGAUAAUGCGUCUCUAGUAUAAAUCAGGCCAAUAUCGAAUAACGGUAGUUUUAUAUGAAGAAAGUCUAUUAAAUACUCCAUUUAGCGCAAAAUUGCAAUCGCACAAAUUAACAGUGCAAUAAUUAACAAUUAUUCGCCGAAGGCGAGGUGAUCAUCGUGAAUAAAAACCGAGACGAAGUCGAGGUUUUUAUUCACGAUAAUCACCGAGCCUGAGGUGAAUAAUUGUUUUAGUAUAAUUUCAUAGGUGAUUAUUUGGAAGAAGAAAAAAUACACAUUUCUUCAUCAUUUAAUUGACAAAACGGCUUCGGUCGCCAUUUCGAAAAUCGCUUAGGUGAUUAUCGCGUUAUAAUCACCUCAACGGCAACCAAUCAGCGUGCAUGGAGAAUUUUCAAUAAUCACCUAUGUAAUUAUACUAAUUAUUCAUAUCCCAAUGUACUGACUACAGUCUUGUUCUAACUUGUAAGUCGAGUUUUAAGUUAUUUUCUUUGCAAUUUCUUUGUUUUAAUGUCGAGUAAAUUAGAUGUAUAAACAAUGUCAGAAGAAUAAGUCACAUCAAAAACGUAAUUUUGUCCAUUGGAGAUUCUUGAACUCAUGGACAUGACAAGUUGAAGUAACACGCUCUUCAAUAUUAAGCAUAUUACACAAAGGGCGGUACGAAGUUGAAAGGCAACAGUGUAAGUGAACAAAUACAACACCGUCAAGCGCUGCGAUGGGGGAGCUGUACAAACCCAGGAUUUCCAUAGCUUAUGCCAAAACAACAAUUAAGGAAUCCUGCAUGUUACAUAAUUAAAGAUUAACUUUUGUACGGCGGGAAAAGCUGCAUGUCUGCAAUUACAGACCAAAAUGAAACCAUCAGCUAUUGAACAUUAA